rnacentral:lncRNA from 1 species
GAUCAAAGUGAUAAUCUUUAUUUGGAUAUAAUUACCUACCACAUAUUCAGCUGGCAACUACUAGCAAAAUUUUAAUGAGAUCUGUAAAGAUUUAUAUAUGAUUGAAUAUUUCAAUAUAUUUCUUCAGUAUAUGAUGCAUUUUCUCUGAUUACUUGUCAUUUUAAAUUUGACAGGUGAGAAUCAAUGAAGAUGUUUCAGAGCUGGUCAGCCAUUUUGGUUGUUGGAUUCAUUCUUCUGGAAUCAGAAGGAAGGCCAAUGAAAGAAGCUGGAUAUGGCCUUAAGUUCUAUCAACCUCUGCCAAGAUUGCGACAUAAGAUGUGGACAAAAUGCAGAGGAGAAGUGGAAGCAUUGAAAGGUAGGCCUCCACCCGCUUUACCUAUCCGGGCAUGGAGAGAAGCCCAGGGGGAGCUUUGGCUUGCAGUUUCUCUACCCAGGUCAUCAGGUGUGCUGUGGACCUGCUCUCCAUUCUUGGGAGGUUCUUGCAAAAAGUUACUGAAAAUUCUUUACAAAUUUGAAUGUGUCCCUCAAAUUCAUGUGUUAGAAAUUUAG